rnacentral:lncRNA from 1 species
CCUUUUUAUAUUCAAAAGCAAACAGAUUGGUUGGGUUUUGCUUAUAUUUCUUUAUUUUAUUUUAUUUCUACUUUUCUAAAAUUUAUUUAUUUAUUUAUUUAUUUGUUUUACUCUAAAGUAUUCUUAUUUAAAGUAUUCUUAUUUUCUGUUAACUUAGAAAGCUCUGAGGGGACGUUUGUCCCUGGAGAUUUCUGAGAAAUAUGUAGAUGUGGUACUUAGGGACAUGUUUAGUGGUCAGUGUUGAUAGAAGGUGGAUGGUUGGACUAGAUUAUCUUUGAGAUCUUUUCCAACAUUCAUGAUUCUAUGUUGAGCUCCACAAAAAGGGCUGUUUGGAGCAGCCUCAUCUUGCCUCUCAUGGGAAGAUGCCCCUCCUGAGACCUUGUAGUGGAUAUGCCAAGUAAUGGCCUGAAACAGUAAUUGAGCACCUGCUGGUAGGCAGGACCAAUCUGUGGGAGCUCAGGUGCAUGUAGUGCCCCUGAACGAAUGACCAGAUGGGGUGGAUCCUGUCUCCUCCCCUUCCCAGACCUCAUCUAUGGGUUUGCAGUGGAGUUGAAAUCAUCUAGCUGAAAUUUCCUGCCUACCUGAAGUCUUCCAAAGGUAAGUGGCUCCUUUACUUCAUUUUUGUGUCCUUGUUUGCUGCAGCCAAGUACUUUGUUACCUUGCUCUACUUUCCAUCACAUUAUGACAUUACAGCCCCUGAUGUCACAAUACUGGUACCUCUACAGUGUGCCAUGGUGCCAGAACAGUGCACAGAAGUGGAUCCAGUAUGCUCAGUGAAGAGCCAUUAUUAGCUGUGGGGAAAAAAAGACUCAAGCAAGCAUUUCAAGUGCUUGGUUGCUGUGUAUGUAUGUGUGUAUGUAUGAAAACAAACCAAAGAUGUGUUUCUGCAUUGGUUACUGUGAGUCAACAGAGAAAUUCUUGGGUUGUUUGUAGCACUCUAGGGCAAAGGAAGCUGGCCCCAGCCUGCAUCUGUAGUCUCAAGCACAUUCUUCAGAAGGUCUCCAGUAUUAGAGCCGUACAGAUGGCAGGAAGGAAGGUUUGUGAUAGAAAUUUGGAGAACAAGACAGUAGAUACACAGUUGUGAAGAAAGAGCCCUGGGACUGACAAGACAUAAUAUUCACCUCAGGAACUUUAACUUCUCAGAGGUGAGAAAAGGUUGGGAAAAAAAGAAGAGAAAGAAGCAGUCUCUAAGGGAGAAAAGAAAGGAUUUAAAAUGUUAUUUUAAUGAAGAAAGAGAGGUAAGGAGAGGUAAGGAGAGGAAAAAAUCAGCUAUCAAAGAUGCUCAGAAAGACCAUAGUACAAAGCAGAGUGGGGGUUGUUAGAGAUGACAGAAGAAUAUUCAAGGUAGUUCUAAUGCUAAAUAGAGGACUCCAGGUUGAAGGAUGAGUGACAGAAAGCAGAACACAAGAGCAAAGCACUAACCUUGUGUAAGCACUGCUUCUGUGUAACUAAAUACUAAUCAUUGUUAAUCAUUGGUAUACACAGGAGAAGCAGAAGCCAGGCACAUACAGAGUCCAAUCUCAUGAAAUCUAUCCACAGAAGUGACCAAGCCUCCUUUCAGGUACCCUAGCCAUAGACAAACAGGGAAUGAUGCCAAAACUGGCUGGUGCCAUUGACAAAUACAAGAAAGUAUUAGAAGUUGGCACGGUGGGCAUAUUCAGCUAAGCCUGCUUUCUCUUUUCCCAGAGAAGAGUACUUUAAAAAAAGGAAAAAAAGUAGUCUUUGGAGAAAGACACUUUUAACAAGAUCUUUUCUGUUUGCUCCAUUCCCCUGUGAGGGUUCAGAGCACUGGAAUUUCUGUAGGCCUCUGUUUGAAAAUAAGCAGCUAAUGAAAAGGUAUGUGCAUGGCUUACUACCCUAAACUAGUCCUCUUAGAAUAUCCUGGGAUUUGCCAAAGCACUAAAUGACGUUGGCAUAGAACACUUUAAGGGAAAAGUCACCUUUAUUCUUUGCUUUUCAGUAUUUAGAAAUGUAGCUUCAGUUUCCUUUGUGUUUUUCGUAUAAAAGAAAUUCAUUUUGAAUAGAGAUGGGUCCAUUUCUUUAGUUUUGAUCUCAAUGGAUACCGAAGCUGGACUGCUGCGCCU